rnacentral:rRNA from 1 species
UACGUAGGGUGCAAGCGUUGUCCGGAAUUAUUGGGCGUAAAGAGCUCGUAGGCGGUCUGUCGCGUCGGUCGUGAAAACUUGGGGCUUAACCCUGAGCUUGCGGUCGAUACGGGCAUGACUGGAGUUCGGCAGGGGAGACUGGAAUUCCUGGUGUAGCGGUGAAAUGCGCAGAUAUCGGGAGGAACACCAGUAGCGAAGGCGGCACUCUGGGCCGGUACUGACGCUGAGGAGCGAAAGCGUGGGGAGCGAACAGG